UACGUAGGUGGCAAGCGUUGUCCGGAUUUACUGGGCGUAAAGGGCGUGUAGCCGGGUUGACAAGUCAGAUGUGAAAUCCUGCGGCUUAACCGCAGAACUGCAUUUGAAACUGUUGAUCUUGAGUACUGGAGAGGCAGACGGAAUUCCUAGUGUAGCGGUGAAAUGCGUAGAUAUUAGGAGGAACACCAGUGGCGAAGGCGGUCUGCUGGACAGCAACUGACGGUGAGGCGCGAAAGCGUGGGGAGCAAACAGG
rnacentral:rRNA from 1 species